CUGUGGGAUCUAACAGACUGUUCUUGAGCUAAACUAUGUUGUGGUGAAAAAAGUCUCAAGGUUUCAGUGGCUUAAUUCCACACACUUUCAUUUCUCACUCGUGUUAUAGUCUUACAAGUCUACCAUCAUGGAAUUCUCUGCUUUCAGCUGCAUAAGAAAGUGAGAGAAUUUGGAGAUGUUCUACUCAGCUGUAAAUUCUUCAGAUGAGAGUGAUGUCAUUACCCUCAGCAAGUGGACUGAAGCUAGUCACAAAACUCUGUCUUACAGCAGGAAAUUCUGGAAAAAUAUUGAUGAGCACUGGGCGUAUGUGGUGGUUACUCUUGUCUUUGCCACUCUCAGUGCAGGGAUCAGGAGAUCUUUUUUUGAGGAAGAGACAUUUAUUCCAGCUAACACAUUAGACAAGAGUAACAGUAAUCAGAAAAAUAGGUGGGAAAGCAUUUUAGGCAGAGGGAGCUAUGCAUUUGGAGACUAUGAGAUGGGAAAGAGCCUGAUACAUUUGAGAAACUGAAAGAUGACCAGUGUGGCUGUCAAGUAGAAAGAAGAAGGGCAGUGAGAGCUGAUGUUAGAAAACAGGCAGAAGGUAGGCCAGGCAGGAUUAGGGCUUGCAGACACUGUUAAUCAUUUCUGAUCCUUCAUACUAAAUGUAAUAGAAAUCCACUGCAGAAUGUUAAGCAAGGGAGUGACAUUGUGACCUUUGUAUUUUGAAAUAUCACCCUGACUGCAAAGUGGAGAUAUUAUUGGAGAGGAUAAGAAUAGGGCUGGGAGACCAUUUAGGGGCUUUUCAGAAGUCCAGGAGAGAGGCGGUAGUGACUGGGAUAAAGAAAGGAGCCAUGAAAGUCAAAACACAUGUAUUUGAGAAGUCUAGGAAGCCGAGGUGGGUGAUUGAAUGUGGAGGAUGAAGAAGGUCUUAGUGAUGGCAGUAGGUUUCUUUCAAGAGCAACUACUGAGCCAGGAAAUGUAGGGAUCACAACAAGCAGAUUUUUCAGUUGUAGGAGUAAGCAGUGGGAAGUGAGUAAUUGUAUAUUCAGUCCUAGACACAACGAGUUUGAGUUGCUUGUUAGAUGUGUAAAAGGAGAUAUUGAUGAGUAAAUUAGAUAUAUUUUUAUGAAGUUUCAAAUAAAGGUCUGGACUGGAAUUACACAUUGGAAGUCCUUGAUUUAUAAGUGGUAAUUAAAACCAUAAAG
ensembl:lncRNA